AGAUGGUUGAGACUUGAGAAGUCUGGUUUUGGUUACCUACGAUUACUUCAUGCUAUGAGUCUCACCAAUGCGCUGAUAGCAGCUUUGGUUGAGCGGUGGAGGAGAGAAACAAAUACUUUUCAUUUAACUGUUGGAGAAUUGACAAUAACACUGGCAGAUGUAGCAUUGUUAUUUGGAUUGGCUAUUGAUGGAGAACCUGUGAUAGGACCAAUAAGUGCGCCAAGCGUAGCUUGUGAAAAACUACUAGGGAGAGUACCGGAGGACUUGAACGGUGGAAUGGUGAAGCUUAAUUGGUUGAAAGAAUUCUUUUGAGUGUCCUGAAGAUGCAUCGCUAGAUGAAAUUGAGCGCUGCACUCGUGCUUACCUUCUAUACCUAGUAGGAAGUACGAUAUUUUCUACAACAACCCGGAACAAAGUCCCUGUUAUGUACCUUUCUUUGUUUGAGAACUUUGACAAGGCUGGGAAGUUUUCUUGGGGUGCAGGAGCAUUGGCUUUUUUGUAUCGAGCACUCGACAAUGCUUCCCUUAAAUCUCAAAGAACCGUUAGUGGCUGUUUAACUCUUAGUGCAGUGUUGGAGUUAUUCCUGCGUCUAUGUUGGACAGCCGAAAUGUAAUCAAGAUCCUGACAGUAAUUGCUUUCCCUUUGUGCUUAAAUGGAAAGGGAAAAGUAGUUGUCGGACGAAAUGUAAUGUAGUGUCAUAUAGAAAUGCUUUGGAUUCUCUUAAUCCUUCUGAUGUCCAGUGGCUUUGGCUUCCUUACAAGGAUAUGGACUAUGCAUAUAUACCGGACUAUAUAAAAACUAGUUUGGUUUUAAGGGCAUCCAGGACUAUGCUUUUGUGUUUUAACAAGGCAGAAGGCACCUUUCCGGUCAUUGUUUAAGACAAUUUUGAAUGCAUCAAACCAUCCCAAAUGAUGUGGAACGGUGGGAGAGGAGUGUCGUAUAGUGGAUCAUGGGGCAGACUUGAUGGGAAAAAAGGACACGGCUCUGAAAGAAUCGUGAGAGCGUUGGUUUCGUAUUGUUGAACGUGGCAACAUUCUAGAUGACAAUGAGUACAUGCAGUGGUACCAGAAGAUUACUCAAAAAUAUAUCAGGAGAGUUACAUCAUCUGUAGAAUCAGAGUAUCAGAGAACAGUAUGUCUUUACUUAUUUUAUCGUUUCUUUCUCUUGAAUAUGUUAUGAAAUACAUGACUGCUGCAUAAUAUUAAAGGUUACUGCUAUGAGGGAAAUUGCGAACCUCGCUGAUAUAUUCUCAACAGAAGGGUUGGAUUCUUAUAAUAGAGGGUUAAUUGAUGAAGUGAAAAAUAUUGCACAUAAGUGUUUAACUGAACAAUUUGAAGAAAUACCUAAGGAGAAAGUGAGUAAGAAGGGUAGUCGGAAACGUAAGCAAAAGGAUCAUCAGAGUAAUGAGUAUGAAUAGCAGCAGAUUAGAGCACUAACCGAAGCUAAUCCUGACUUUUUUUCGUCAAGUAGCCUAGUUACUAGAAAAUCCACCUUAAAGGUAAAUAAGUGAAGUGUCCCGGGUUCGAACCCGGGCUCCUGCACAUAUAGUGCGAUGUCCCUACCAAUUGAGCUAAGCUCACGGGGACAAGCUAAUCCCGAUUUUUCC